AGCGAACGCUGGCGGCAGGCCUAACACAUGCAAGUCGAACGAACCUUUCGGGGUUAGUGGCGGACGGGUGAGUAACACGUGGGAACGUGCCUUUAGGUUCGGAAUAACUCAGGGAAACUUGUGCUAAUACCGAAUGUGCCCUUCGGGGGAAAGAGUUGUCGCCUUUAGAGGGGCCGGCGUCUGAUUAGCUAGUUGGUUGAGGUAAUGGCUCACCAAGGCGACAAUCAGUAGCUGGUCUGAGAGGAUGAUCAGCCACAUUGGGACUGAGACACAGCCCAAACUCCUACGGGAGGCAGCAGUGGGGAAUCUUGCGCAAUGGGCGAAAGCCUGACGCAGCCAUGCCGCGUGAAUGAUGAAGGUCUUAGGAUUGUAAAAUUCUUUCACCGGGGACGAUAAUGACGGUACCCGGAGAAGAAGCCCCGGCUAACUUCGUG
rnacentral:rRNA from 1 species